rnacentral:rRNA from 1 species
UACGUAGGGGGCAAGCGUUGUCCGGAAUCAUUGGGCGUAAAGCGCGCGUAGGCGGCCCUGUAAGUCCGUUGUGAAAGUCAAAGGCUCAACCUUUGAAAGCCGAUGGAAACUGCCUGGCUAGAGUGUUGGAGGGGGGACUGGAAUUCUCGGUGUAGCAGUGAAAUGCGUAGAUAUCGAGAGGAACACCAGUGGCGAAGGCAGGUCUCUGGGCUGACACUGACGCUCAUGCACGAAAGCGUGGGGAGCAAACAGG